rnacentral:misc_RNA from 1 species
GAUUAAAACUUAGUUGUUGUUGUUAUCGUUGUAUUCCAAAGUAUGUAUAUUACUUUACAUACAUAUUCAUGCAUACAUAUUUUGCUUGCAUACUCAUGGCUUUUCUAAAAGAAGCAGGUUUUCUAUUUCUUUAUUAAUAUAUUUUUUUACAUUAUCUUUGCAUUACAACAUUUCUCUCCCAAACUAACAACAUAAAUAAAUACAUGAUUGGACGAAAAACUUCAGAAAUUGGACUGCCAAGAGGCUCAACUCUAGGCCAACUCUUCAACAUGGUUGAAAUUGUAAAAUUCCUUCAUUGUUGUUCAAAUAUAUAUGUAUACAUAUAUAUAUAUAUUCAAAAUAAAAUAAACACAGACAAAGAAAUAAAUCUACCACAACUGGCAUAAAAAGAUGCAAAGAAGUAUGAACAUAUAAUAUUACC